rnacentral:sRNA from 1 species
AAGCAAAAUAACCAAAAAGAACUGACAAAACUUUUUAGCCCAACAUUUGUUGUUUUCCCAAUCAUUUAAAACAUACGUAUGCUUGCAUAUAUAUACAAGUACAUAAUGUAUAUAUGUAUCUACACCUACUUAACUAAAGAAAAAACGCGUGUAUAUAACAAACGAUAAUUCAAUAAUUUUAAAAUAACCAAAAAGGUAGCUGUUAAAUAUGUAAUUCAAAAUGCGUGUCAAGCCGUCCUCUUUACAAAGAAAUGAUCACAAAGUAUAUGAAAUAUAUAUGAUAAACAAGUAAACAAAUAAAUCCAUUACAUUUUCAACAACAAUUGUUCAGUAACAAUGACUUUAGCCUUUGUAAUAUAAUAUAACAUAAAUAAUAAAAAAAAAAACACAUCUAAUGCGAGUACAAUAAUAAAACAAGGCGUAGCUUCUAUCUUGCUAAACGAGUGAGAGACAACAAAAUGGCUGACGCCUUGUCUCUGGCCCACCUUUUCGCGCGCGUGUGAAAUAAAACAAAAACAACAAAAAAGUAGAAAAUAAAAUUAAAUUAAAAAAAUAAAAAACCAAAUCAACAAAAGCAAAGAAAAAUAAAAAUAAAAUUAAAAUUAAAAUAAACAAAAAAUAAAAAACUAAGCAUCAGUGAAAAGUAUUAACAAGAAUUAUAUUAACAUCAACGCCGACAACAACAAGAACAACAACGAGAGCAACGUCAACAACAACAAUAACAAGAAAAUCAUCAUAAUCAAGAAGCAGCAGCAGCACGAGCCGUGGAAAAUCAACUCAAUGCCAAAGUGAAUGCCGGAUAUAGAAAGACUCAUAUAGAUUGUUGUGCAUACAGCCAACACAUAUACAAGCAUACACACACACACAGAUACACAUUUAUACAUGUACAUACAUACACACACACACAUACAUAGGGCAAAUAAGAGCAAUAGAUGUGGUUGUCAUUCACACUGCUGAUGUCGUCAAAGUUGCCAUUGCCGUCGUCGUCGUCGCCGUUGCCGUCGCAGUCGCUGCCAUUGCCAGCGACAAUCAACAUUUAGGAAAUUCAUCAUACGCACUGUGGGACACGACCCAGGCAAAUGCAGUGCCCGAUUGAAAGAUUUUUGAUUUUGUAUCCCCAUCAUCACCACCAC